rnacentral:lncRNA from 1 species
ACGGAGUGGCGCGGCGGCAGGUGGAGCCCCUCGCUGCGCAUGCUGGCAGCUGUAGUCCAUUAACCGGUCUCAGCCGUUUGCAAGUCUGCGGGACUAUAACUCCCAGGAUGCCUGGGGUACCGCUGCAGAACUACAACUCCCAGGAUGCCGUGUGCACGCACCCGGAUCUGCUGAGAACAGAGGACAACCACAUUCCCAGACAAGUAUCCAGUGGGCCAUUUUCACCAACCCAUUCAAAUGCAGAGGCCUCAAAAAACUCAGCAUACACUGAUGAGCCUAACUCCACUCGGGCCUGACUGGUGGUGUCUUAGAGACACAGUGGUGACCUGACCCCCCAGGAACAGACAGACUGUGCUCCAGCUUUGGGAGAGCCAUGUUCAAGGUGCGGAGCACCGGGCAUCAUUGGAAACCUGUCAGGUUUACCGUCUCUGCUUUGGAGGAAAGCUUGUCAAAGACAGCAGUUAGCGGUGUGGACCUUGACUUGCCUGGUCUGAUCUGUUGUAUUUUUCUGUCUGGAAAUGGAAAUGUUCAGGAGCACUUCCACUUCCACUUCGCCUCUUAAUAAUUGAUGUUCCUAAAUUCUGUAUGCCCUAAGAGACAGUUCCUUUGAUUGCUGGGGGGACCAAGAUAAACACAUCUAGGGAUAUUCACUUAUACCAUAUUUCCUUAAAAAUUAGUUAGAACAGUGAAAGGAGCAGGAUAUAAGAUGUACUGCUCAUUUGCAAAAGAUAAAAGGCAAGCGAGACCUUCCCAUUAAGAUGUUUCUGUUCAUUCGAUUCCCUGUCCUGUGCAUUUGGAUGCAAACCCAACAGACUUGAAUUGUCAAGUUUCUCUUUUCCUGAGAUUGGUAAGUUAACUUAGGGGUUUUAAGUGUUUUGUUGAAGGCUGUGGAGGAGUAGUUAGCAGCCCUCAUGAUUUAUCUUGUCUCAAAAAGCCUAGGUGCUGAUCUACAUGAAAGUGAGACCUUGUUUGUAUUACACCUUCUGAUAGGUUGUGUUUCUGCUUCCUGAGUGUCCUGUACCAUCAAAAAGACUGGAAAACCUGGUCAUGGGAACCAGAUCCUACUACUUUGUGAAAAAUUUCCCUCUUCCUGAAUUAAUUACAUGCAAAUUCAUCAACACCUUUGUAAAGAAAGGAAGAAAAACUGUGUGGUGUCUAUGAACAUGGCAAGAUGAGGAGC